AUAGAUUUAAGUUAUGUUAGACUAAGUGUUUUCAAAACAUUAAGCGGCUUUGGCCAAUCUAUG
rnacentral:tRNA from 1 species